rnacentral:rRNA from 1 species
GACGAACCGUGCGAACGUUGUUCGGAUUCACUGGGCUUAAAGGGCGCGUAGGCGGGUGACCAAGUCCGGGGUGAAAUCUUUCGGCCCAACCGGAAAAGUGCCUGGGAUACUGGUCAUCUCGAGGGAGGUAGGGGCAUGCGGAACUUCCGGUGGAGCGGUGAAAUGCGUAGAUAUCGGAAGGAACGCCGGUGGCGAAAGCGGCGUGCUGGACCUCUUCUGACGCUGAGGCGCGAAAGCCAGGGGAG